rnacentral:rRNA from 1 species
ACACAUGCAGUCGAGCGGAUGACAGGAGCUUGCUCCUGAAUUCAGCGGCGGACGGGUGAGUAAUGCCUAGGAAUCUACCUGGUAGUGGGGGACAACGUUUCGAAAGGAACGCUAAUACCGCAUACGUCCUACGGGAGAAAGCAGGGGACCUUCGGGCCUUGCGCUAUCAGAUGAGCCUAGGUCGGAUUAGCUAGUUGGUGAGGUAAUGGCUCACCAAGGCGACGAUCCGUAACUGGUCUGAGAGGAUGAUCAGUCACACUGGAACUGAGACACGGUCCAGACUCCUACGGGAGGCAGCAGUGGGGAAUAUUGGACAAUGGGCGAAAGCCUGAUCCAGCCGUGCCGCGUGUGUGAAGAAGGUCUUCGGAUUGUAAAGCACUUUAAGUUGGGAGGAAGGGCAUUAACCUAAUACGUUAGUGUUUUGACGUUACCGACAGAAUAAGCACCGGCUAACUCUGUGCCAGCAGCCGCGGUAAUACAGAGGGUGCAAGCGUUAAUCGGAAUUACUGGGCGUAAAGCGCGCGUAGGUGGUUUGUUAAGUUGGAUGUGAAAUCCCCGGGCUCAACCUGGGAACUGCAUUCAAAACUGACAAGCUAGAGUAUGGUAGAGGGUGGUGGAAUUUCCUGUGUAGCGGUGAAAUGCGUAGAUAUAGGAAGGAACACCAGUGGCGAACGCGACCACCUGGACUGAUACUGACACUGACGUGCGAAAGCGUGGGGAGCAAACAGGA